rnacentral:rRNA from 1 species
GGCAGGCCUAACACAUGCAAGUCGAACGGUAACAGAGAGAAGCUUGCUUCUCUGCUGACGAGUGGCGGACGGGUGAGUAAUACUUAGGGAUCUGCCCUUGGGAGGGGGAUAACCAUUGGAAACGAUGGCUAAUACCGCAUAACGUCUACGGACCAAAGGGGGCUUUUAGCUCUCGCCUGAGGAUGAACCUAAGCGAGAUUAGCUUGUUGGUGAGGUAAUGGCUCACCAAGGCGACGAUCUCUAGCUGUUCUGAGAGGAAGAUCAGCCACACUGGGACUGAGACACGGCCCAGACUCCUACGGGAGGCAGCAGUGGGGAAUAUUGCACAAUGGGGGAAACCCUGAUGCAGCCAUGCCGCGUGUGUGAAGAAGGCCUUCGGGUUGUAAAGCACUUUCAGUUGUGAGGAAAGGUUGAUGGUUAAUACCCAUCAGCUGUGACGUAGCAACAGAAGAAGCACCGGCUAACUCCGUGCCAGCAGCCGCGGUAAUAC